UGUAGAAAAGUGUUUGACUGUGUACAGUAGGUGGCGGUACAAUUUAAACACCACAGAAGAAGUUGAAAAACAUCAACAGGAAGUGCUUUGUUACCGUCCUCUUGCGUUUUUAAACCAAAUAAAGACCCACAGGCUUUUGCUGGAUCUUUUCGGGUGUAAAAUUAGUCUACAUGAAACGUUUAUUUGUCCCCAUUUUAAAUCGAGUUUUGAUAAUUAAUUAGGUGUGAUCGAGCUUUUAUUUGUUUGAACGCUACGACAAGGAAAUUAACUGCAGUGUACACAUUUACUGUCUUGUUUGUUAUUUGAAACGUUGAAGAACGAAUACAGUAGCUUCCACUAUGGAUCGGCAAAUCACAGGGAUCUGGGCCUGGUCGGGUGUCUGUAGUAUAUCCCUCGCGUCCGACUCAUUGAAUUGAACGAGAAGUUCUUCUUUGAGGUGAGUAAUCCCAAUACUGAUGCCCAGAAGCUCUUUUCGGUCAUAAGAGAAGGUAGCAGCAACAUUAUGUACAAAACAAGUUACGAACAACGCAAAAAAAGGAAAGAAAAUAGCAUGGUUGGUUAAGAGCCGAUAAGACGGCAGCCCUACCCUAUGAGUUGGAUGUGCUGAGAAAAUAUACAAUGUAGGCCGCCUGUCAGUAUUUGUCAUCAUAUUGAGAAAAUAAGAUGUCCACAUAAGCCUAUCACAGGAUAUAUGAGUCAAUAUCCGGCCAAACCAUGAAUGAUAUCUGGAGGGAAUCCAAAAACGAUUUGUGCAUAAUGAAAACUGCUAAAAACUGAACCACGAAACCAAAAUUGUAUAGUGUCGAGUUUACGUACAGUUUGAAAACAACUGUAUAAAUUGACAUCAAUUUAAUUUAGGUUGGAAGCUAAAACCAAAUAAUUCAUGGAUUUGACUGUAAAUACUACACCACUCUUCUUCAGCCAGUGUACUUCUAUACAGUAGGGCAAAGUGGGUCACUGUGCUACCAUUUUGAAAUGAUGGUGUGGUGUACAAAUCACUGCUAAAAUACUUGGGUGUUAAAUUAGUUUAUUCCACUCAUUAUCUGAAUGUUGUUGAUUUUUAGUUACAGUAAUUAGACAUAGACAAUUGGAUCUUAAACAAUGUUACAUGGGGCAGAAAUUGCACCAGGCUACACCCAUACCUUUUUACUGUAGGUUUCUACUACAUGCCACAAUACCCCUAUAUCUGAUGGUUUCUUCUAUGUAUGUACUGUAUAAGGAUACUGAAACUAUGAGACUGACAUUUUCUCAACAUGCUCCAUAACUAGCAGCAGUGGUUCUGGUGUUUAGGUUUUUCAUCACUGGUUAUUUGAACAAGCCAUGAUUUAGCAGGUGUUACCAUCUUUCACAUUUCGGAAAGGGAGGGGACAUUUGGCCCUUAUCAAGAGGGAGGAACUCCUCAUUCUGGUUCUGCUCCUCGUUCUAGCAUCUCCUAAUCUCUUAACUCGGGUGAAAGAUGUGUUCAACUCCAAUGAAUGCUCAAUCAAGGUUCUGAACAUAAAAUGGGGCAUUCCAAGUGUCAUCAGUUUUGGCAUUUGUACUAAGAGU